rnacentral:rRNA from 1 species
AGAGAGAGACAUGCGUGCAUAUCAAUAAGCGGAGGAAAAGAAACUAACAAGGAUUCCCCUAGUAACGGCGAGUGAAGCGGGAAGAGCUCAAAUUUGAAAUCUUAAAGGGUUUCCCUUUACGAAUUGUAGUUUAAAGAAGUGUUUUCUGUUGAGGUUUUGGUAAAAGUUCUUUGGAAUAGGACAUCAUAGAGGGUGAGAAUCCCGUAUUUGACCUUUACUUUCAACUUUGUGAUACACUUUCAAAGAGUCGGAUUGUUUGGGAAUGCAGUCCAAAAUGGGUGGUAAAUUUCAUCUAAAGCUAAAUAUUGGCGAGAGACCGAUAGCGAACAAGUACCGUGAGGGAAAGAUGAAAAGAACUUUGAAAAGAGAGUUAAACAGUACGUGAAAUUGUCAAAAGGGAAGCGUUUGACACCAGUGUUGUUUUUCUGAAAAUCAAUUAAAGAACUGUUUAUGCUAAGCUGUUUAGACUUUAUCAGCUAUCUGUUUAGUUUUGAGCUUUUCUUUAAUGCACUUUUCAGUUAACAAGUCAACAUCAAUUUCUUUUGCUGUAAAAAAGCUUGAGGAAGGUGGCUUGAGAUUCGUCUUAAGUGUUUAUAGCCUCUUGCCUAUGCAGUCGGAGAGAUUGAGGUCUGCAGCGUAGAUCCUUCGGGGCUAAAUGCAUUUGUGCUAAGUUAUAGCAUUUUAUAGACAACUUGUUGACUAUGAUUUGUCUUGUAGCUUACUCGCUUAUGUUAUUUUACCUACGCUUAGGAUGUUGACGCAUGAGAUAUACGC